rnacentral:rRNA from 1 species
AUAUUGCGCAAUGGAGGGAACUCUGACGCACCGACGCCGCGUGAGCGAUGAAGGUCUUCGGAUCGUAAAGCUCUGUCCUUGGGGAAGAAGGUCUUCUGACUUCACGGUACCUAAGGAGGAACCCCCGGCCAACUACGUGCCAGCAGCCGCGGUAAUACGUAGGGGGCAAGCGUUGUCCGGAACUAUUGGGCGUAAAGGAUGCGUAGGCGGCCUUUUAAGUCAGAUGGGAAAGCCCACGGCUUAACCGUGGGACUGCAUUUGAAACUGGAGGGCUUGAGUAUCGGAGAGGGUAGUGGAAUUCCCAGUGUAGCGGUGGAAUGCGUAGAUAUUGGAAGGAACACCAGUGGCGAAGGCGACUACCUGGACGAAAACUGACGCUGAGGCACGAAAGCUAGGGGAGCAAAC